CGUCAUAAUUGACAAAUCAUGAUAGCCGAAUGGUCUGGGAAGGCCAACCGUAGGGGGUGAGAGUCCCGUAGGUGAAAUUGUGAGAUGCAUGGAAGGAAUCCUGAGUACGGCGGGACACGUGGAAUCCCGUCGGAAUCAACGAGGACCAUCUCGUAAGGCUAAAUACUACCUAGUGACCGAUAGUGAACCAGUACCGUGAGGGAAAGGUGAAAAGAACCCCGGGAGGGGAGUGAAAGAGAACCUGAAACCGUGUGCCUACAAAUAGUCAGAGCCCGUUAAUGGGUGAUGGCGUGCCUUUUGUAGAAUGAACCGGCGAGUUACGAUAUCGUGCGAGGUUAAGCAGAAGAUGCGGAGCCGUAGCGAAAGCGAGUCUGAAUAGGGCGAAGAGUACGAUGUUGUAGACCCGAAACCGUGUGAGCUAGCCAUGAGCAGGCUGAAGGUCAGGUAACACUGACUGGAGGGCCGAACCAGGGCACGUUGAAAAGUGCUUGGAUGACUUGUGGCUAGGGGUGAAAUUCCAAUCGAACACGGAUAUAGCUGGUUCUCUCCGAAAUAGCUUUAGGGCUAGCCUCGAUGUUAAGUCUACUGGAGGUAGAGCACUGAAUGGGUGAUGGCCCCACCUCGGGGUACUGAUCUCAAUCAAACUCCGAAUGCCAGAUAGAUAUAAUCGGGAGUCAGACUGUGGGUGAUAAGGUCCAUGGUCAAAAGGGAAAGAGCCCAGACCGCCAGCUAAGGCCCCCAAGUGUCCGUUAAGUGGAAAAGGAUGUGGAGCUGCAUAGACAACUAGGACGUUGGCUUAGAAGCAGCCACUCAUUUAAAGAGUGCGUAAUAGCUCACUAGUCGAGUGACUCUGCGCCGAAGAUAAACGGGGCUGAAACCUGACACCGAAGCUUUGGAUACAUUAUGUAUGGUAGAGGAGCAUCGUAUACGGGCAGAAGCGUGACUGUAAGGGAGCGUGGACUGUAUACGAGAGAGAAUGUUGGCAUGAGUAGCGAGAGGCAGGUGAGAAUCCUGCCCGCCGAAAAUCUGAGGAUUCCUGAGGAAGGUUCGUCCGCUCAGGGUAAGUCGGGACCUAAGCCGAGAACGAAAGUUGUAGGCGAUGGACAACAGGUUGAGAUUCCUGUACCACCGAGGAUCAUUUGAAUGAAGUGGGGACGCAGGAGGAUAGGCUGAGCGCGCCGUUGGUGGAGCGCGUCCAAGCACGGAGGGAGUUGACCAGGCAAAUCCGGUCAGCGAGUUCCUGACGUGUGAUGGGGAGGGAAAACAAGUACCGAAGCAGCUGAUUUCACACUGCCAAGAAAAGCCGCUGGUGAGAUCCAAGGUGCCCGUACCGCAAACCGACACAGGUAGAUGAGGAGAGAAUCCUAAGGCGAGCGAGAGAACUAUUGUUAAGGAACUCGGCAAAAUGACCCCGUAACUUAGGGAGAAGGGGUGCUGCAGAAAUGCAGCCGCAGUGAAGAGGCCCAGGCGACUGUUUACCAAAAACACAGGUCUCUGCGAAAGCGAAAGCUGAAGUAUAGGGGCUGACGCCUGCCCGGUGCUGGAAGGUUAAGGGGAAGUGUCAGGGCGACCGAAGCACAGAACUUAAGCCCCAGUAAACGGCGGCCGUAACUAUAACGGUCCUAAGGUAGCGAAAUUCCUUGUCGGGUAAGUUCCG
rnacentral:rRNA from 1 species